CAGCCGUAAACUAUGCGCGUUAGGUGUAUCGGUGACCACGAGUUACCGAGGUGCCGAAGGGAAACCGUGAAACGUGCCGCCUGGGAAGUACGGUCGCAAGGCUGAAACUUAAAGGAAUUGGCGGGGGAGCACCACAACAGGUGGAGCCUGCGGUUUAAUUGGACUCAACGCCGGGAAGCUCACCGGAUAGGACAGCAGAAUGAUUGCCGGGCUGAAGACCCUGCAUGACUAGCUGAGAGGUGGUGCAUGGCG
rnacentral:rRNA from 1 species